AUACGGAGGAUCCGAGCGUUAUCCGGAUUUAUUGGGUUUAAAGGGUGCGCAGGCGGCCAUUUAAGUCAGCGGUUAAAUCGUGGGGCUCAACCCCAUUCUGCCGUUGAUACUGGGUGGCUUGAUUGCGGUCGAGGUUGGCGGAAUUCGUUGUGUAGCGGUGAAAUGCAUAGAUAGGACGAAGAACACCGAUCGCGUAGGCAGCUGACCAGACCGCAAAUGACGCUCAUGCACGAAAGUGCGGGGAUCGAACAGGAUUAGAUACCCUGGUAGUCCGCACAGUAAACGAUAAAUACUUGUUGUCGGCGAUAUAAUGUCGGAGGCAAAGCGAAAGCGAUAAGUAUUCCACCUGGGGAGUACGCCGGCAACGGUGAAACUCAAAUGAAUUGACGGGG
rnacentral:rRNA from 1 species